rnacentral:snoRNA from 1 species
ACGAGAUAUGAUGAUGUUUAUCCAUCUAUUCUGCAAUUGAAUGAUGAUCACUAACAUGCACUACCAUCUGAUCUCUU